UACAGAGGGUGCGAGCGUUAAUCUGAAUUACUGGGCGUAAAGCGUGCGUAGACGGUUACAUAAGUCGGGUGUGAAAGCCCCGGGCUCAACCUGGGAAUUGCAUUCGAGACUGCGUAGCUAGGGUGCGGAAGAGGGAAGCGGAAUUUCCGGUGUAGCGGUGAAAUGCGUAGAUAUCGGAAGGAACACCAGUGGCGAAAGCGGCUUCCUGGUCCAGCACCGACGUUCAGGCACGAAAGCGUGGGGAGCAAACAGG
rnacentral:rRNA from 1 species